GAUUUUGAAGCAAAUCUACAAGACACAAUGUCUGAGCUAUACCCUGAGGCAGAAGAUUUAUCAUUUUUUUUUUCCAUUUUUUGAGUUUAUAAAACAUGUUAUUGUAGCUAAGCUUCAUCUAGAAAUCUCAUUUAUUUUUUUUUAUUUUUUUCUUCUCUUAAGUCACUACACUUUCUCUAUUCUUUCUGUCCAUACUCUAUUCUUUCUCUUGAAUUUACAAUGCAUUCAAAUUUCCACUUGCAGUCGCCUGAUGUUUAUAAGGCUGCAUGGAAUCUAUUGAAGGACCCAACCGAGCAAAUUGGCAUUGAUAACUUCAUGGUACAACAACUUGAUGGAAUAGUUAAUGAGUGGGGCUGGUGCAAGCAGAAGCUUGGUGCUAAUGCUAUAUUGGCAGUAUCACUUACUAUCUGUAAAGUAGGUGCUAGCGUGAAAAAGAUCCCUCUUUACUAGAUAGAUGCAGAGAGUACAGUGGGGGGAGAAGCUUUUUCUCGAAUAGCACCAACAAUUCCUACUAUCGCUGAUGUAGUUACCAGUACACAUCUGUUUGAUGUACUUACAAAUUCAAAUGGAGGUCGGCUUUCUUUCUUGGUAUGUGAGAAGUACCUUGUUGGAUUAGAAAGGUUAGCAUUCUUCAGUUGAUAAGUUGUACUUGCUCAUAUCAUGGUAAUAAAAAAGGGUACAUAGUGGCUGUAAUGGUUGUUAUGUAAUGGUAAUGGUGAGAUCCCUUAUGCGAUAUGGGUUUGUAAUGUCCAUUCUUAAAAAAUGGCCCAUAAUAGGCCUGUAAGUUGUAACAGCCAUAACAGUCGUACGGGCCCAUUAUAGGCCAAUAUGAGCCUAUAAUGGUCCCAUAUUAGGCUGAUACAUUUUCUUUAAAAAAAUUUACUGUA